AUCCAAUUGACCAGUCCUAAAUAGGACGAAACACGUGUCCUGUAU
rnacentral:hammerhead_ribozyme from 1 species